rnacentral:tRNA from 1 species
GGGGAUUUAGCUCAGUGGUAGAGUACUUGCUUAGCAAGUACAAGGCCCUGGGUUCAGUCCCCA